UACAGAGGGGGCAAGCGUUGUUCGGAAUUACUGGGCGUAAAGAGCUCGUAGGCGGUCUGUCGCGUCGAAUGUGAAAACCCGGGGCUCAACUCCGGGCUUGCAUUCGAUACGGGCAGGCUAGAGUUCGGUAGGGGAGUCUGGAAUUCCUGGUGUAGCGGUGAAAUGCGCAGAUAUCAGGAGGAACACCGGUGGCGAAGGCGGGUCUCUGGGCCGAUACUGACGCUGAGGAGCGAAAGCGUGGGGAGCGAACAGG
rnacentral:rRNA from 1 species